ncrna:unclassified sequences DTF2693-FD RNA
GCCCUAUUGACAGCUAAAGACUGGCAUCCGAUAGCGAGAAUCGGGGAGGGU